UAUUUUUGCUUUGCAAAAUAAACUUAAAUAUUGCCUUUUACUAAAGAUUUCCGUGGAGAGGAACAACUAUGAGUUUUCAUAAAUUUUUUGAGGCCAGGUCUCUGACCCGGCU